UACGUAGGGUCCGAGCGUUGUCCGGAAUUAUUGGGCGUAAAGGGCUCGUAGGCGGUUCGUCACGUCGGGAGUGAAAACUCGGAGCUUAACUCCGAGCCUGCUUCCGAUACGGGCAGACUAGAGGUAGGCAGGGGAGAGCGGAACUCCUGGUGUAGCGGUGGAAUGCGCAGAUAUCAAGAGGAACACCUGCGGCGAAGGCGGGUUGCUGGGCCGACACUGACGCUGAGGAGCGAAAGCCAGGGGAGCAAACGGG
rnacentral:rRNA from 1 species